rnacentral:rRNA from 1 species
UACGUAGGUGACCAGCGUUGUCCGGAUUUACUGGGCGUAAAGAGCGCGCAGGCGGUCGAUUAAGUCGAGUGUGAAAGCCCCCGGCUCAACUGGGGAGGGUCAUUCGAAACUGGUCGACUUGAAGGCAGGAGAGGGAUGCGGAAUUCCCGGUGUAGUGGUGAAAUGCGUAGAUAUCGGGAGGAACACCAGUGGCGAAGGCGGCAUCCUGGCCUGUUCUUGACGCUGAGGCGCGAAAGCUAGGGGAGCAAACGGG